AUCCCUGACGGGAGAUUAAUAAGAUCCUGAAAUCAGGUGGUAACAGACUGGUAUGGCAUGCAAGGGAUUAAGCGGUUACACCGCCGCACCGAUGUCAUACCGUUCGAUUCGAAAAUUGAUCCGUGGAGUUUCUAUCAUUGGCGAGGUUAAGUGCGUAGGUACGAAGCCGUAGGGAAACCGAUAGCCCGCAGCGCAAGCGAGGGGCAAGGUGUGCUCGCCUGGAGUCAAUGGUUGGAUACCCGAAGCCGGUCGAUCUAUGCCUGGGCAGGGUGAAGCCUUUCGGAAGAAGGGUGGAGGCCCGAACCAGUACUGAUGUGCAAAUCGUUUGGAUGACCUGGGUAUAGGGGCGAAAGACCAAUCUAGACCGGCAAUUGCUGGUUCCUCUCGAAACUGCUCGCAGGCAGACCUCAGCAGAGACGGGGCAUGCGGUAGAGCACUGAUUGCGUGUUUAGGAAGCGAAAGUUUUCGGCAUGCUGUCAAACUCCGAAUGUGUGUCCGUUGUAGAAGCUGGGCAGUGAGGGCAUCGGGGUAAGCUUGAUGUCCAUAAGGAAAACAAACCAGACCAAAGUUAAGGUCCCUAAGUAAUAGCUAAGUGUUAAAGAACAAAUAGUGUUUAACAGCAUAGACAGCUGGAAGGUUGGCUUAGAGGCAGCCAUCCUUUAAAGAGUUCGUAACAGAUCACCAGUCAAGUUCUUGAGCCUAGAAAAUGGACGGGACUAAGUUGUUCACCGAUACUUUGGGCCACCGAAAGGUGAUGCGGUAGAGAGGCGUCGUGCGCGGGUGGAAGUGGGGCCGUGAGGUCCUGUGGACCGCGUUCGAAUGAUAAUCAUGGAAAGAGUAGUAGCGUAGAUGGGUGAGAAUCCCAUCCGCCGGAGGGGCUAGGGUUCCUCGACGAUGUUCAUCAGUCGAGGGUUAGUCGGUCCUAAGGUUCCCCCUAACAGGAGGAAUCGAAAGGGAAGCAGGUUAAAAUUCCUGCACCAAUUCAUAUUUUGUCCAGUUCCUGACACAUCGGGUCUUGUGGAGCACUCUUGUCGGAGUGUUGCCUUAAACAAUAAAUUUGUGGAGUACCGUAAUGGUGAGAAGCAAACUAAGUUUUUGGGAGGCGGAGUAUUUCGCUUCUGCGUUAGCCUGGUGUCCGUGAAAAGGGAGCUGGAGUCGUAUGAGUUGUCCGUACCGAGAUCUGACACAGGUGCCCCUAGGUGAGUAGCCUAAGGCGUCGCGGCAGAAUCCGGGCGAGGGAAUUCGGCAAAUUAGCCCCGUACCUUUGGUAUAAGGGGUGCCAGCUCUGAAGAGAGCUGGUCGCAGUGACUAGGGAGCUCCGACUGUUUAUUAAAAACACAGGUGGCUGCUAGUCCGUAAGGAUGUGUAUAGCCGCUGAAUCCUGCCCAGUGGCAGUAUCUGAAACCAGGUUUCAACCUGACGAAGGACUGCUAAACGGCGGGGGUAACUAUGACCCUCUUAAGGUAGCGUAAUACCUUGUCGCUUAAUUGGCGACUUGCACGAACGGCCUAACGAGAGCUCUACUGUCCCCGCCCGGAGCCCGAUGAAAUUGACUUACUGGCGCACAGUCCAGUACGUCCCAGCCGCAAGCGAAGACCCCGUGGAGCUUUACUGCAACCUGCCGUUGUGGCACGAGUUGUUAUGUGUAGCGUAGACGGGAGACAUUACACAGGUGCGAGCGCUAGCUCGUCGCCGAGUCACCGAUGAAACACCGUCCUUUUCGAUUCGUCCCACUCACCUCUUAGGAGGAACCCCGGUAGGCGGGCAGUUUGGGUGGGGCGCCACUCCCUCGAAAAAAUAACAAGGGAGCCCAAAGGUCAGCUUAGGUAGGUCAGGAAUCUACCGUUAAGUGCAAGGGCAAAAGCUGGCUUGACGUGGUUUGGCAACACAACAAACCACGAUGUGAAAGCAGGGCCUAGCGAACCAACCAGCGCCGUUAGUAGGUGCGGUUGAUAACAGAAAAGUUACCCCGGGGAUAACUGAGUUGUCUGGAGCAAGAGCCCACAUCGACCUCCAGGCUUGCUACUUCGAUGUCGUCUCUUCCUAUCCUGGGUGUGCAGAAGCACCCAAGGGUGGGGUUGUUCGCCCAUUAAAAGGGAUCGUGAGAUGGG
rnacentral:rRNA from 1 species